GCCCCUCACCUGCCUCCUCUUCGAAUCCAGGUGCCACCGUGGCCGCGCUCCCCGCAGGCCCGGGUUCGCUUCCUCCUCGGUAUCGGCGGACCCGCCGCCUGAAGCCGGAAGAUGGCGCAGGCGCACAACGCCCCGCGGACGCUGCCUCGCGAGUGGGCCAACGCCGCAGUCUCUUCUGGGAAACGUAGUUUCUGGGCGCAGAGGCACAGCUUGGCCUCAAAGCCGGAUCUCGCGAUGUUUCGGGGUGGGCGUGGCUCCGGUGUGCCUAGAGGGAGAGUGUUCAAGUCCCCGCGUGGCUGCGGGCGGGUUUGCUCAUCAGGUGCUUAGUGUGUGUGCGAUCGCGUCUUGCGUGGCCGUUGCGGUGUGUGUCGUGUGGUUCGGACCUGUCGUUGGGUCUGACUGGGACCGUGCCACUCCGGGAACACGCUCGUGUGUGACCGUCAAAGUGUCUCAUUCGUUACAUCAUCGUUUUCCGCGCGGAGCGGCCACUUUACCAGAAGUUUCGGAAGGAGAAAAACUCCCGAGUUUAUCCGUGGCUUUCCCUUGGAAGACACACUACACACCGCAGAGCAGAGAGGAGGAACCAACGCAGAGCACCGAUUUGCUAAGUUGACAAACAACAGUUUUGGGGAAAUGAAGUGACUGGAGUUCGUGGGGGCAAAGUGUGGAAGAGGAGUGGAGUUGGUAUUUCCACCAAACAAGACCUACGUACCUGUGGGCGAGGCCAUGCUACCUCCGCCCUCUGAAUUGUGGAUGAGCCAAUACGGUGAAACCUUGGAGAAUGCAUAUUCGGAGACAGACAUUUGCUUCAUGAUACCGCAGAGGUCACAAGCCCUCAUGGAAACAGGGCUGGGAUCUGGAAGAGAUAGGGUGUGAGGGUUUGAAGAGAAGAAGGUCACUGGGCCAUUCCAGACAUAUCCCAGAAAUGACCACAGAGAAUAGAAUUAACAUCAGGACCUUUGGACAGGCCUGUAGAGUGGGUGGGUUGGCUGGAACUCCUGUGGCUGUGAGCAUUAGGCAGAGAGAUGACCUACCUGGGAACACAUUUGAGCUGGGCCACAAAGCCCUAAGGCGCUGAAGGCAAGGAGUCCCGGGUCCCCAAGUACGGGCGGGUAGAAUGGCCAGCUGGUGCGGCCUGACUGGACUUAGAUCUCAGGCAGACAAAGGGGGCUGCCUUCUCUACUUGUCUCGACUUGUGGGAUCAGGACUACAUUUCCUAUAAGUGACUGUGGCUCCAGGCCCACCAUCUACCCCUCCCACUGGAUGUGCACGUCAGGCCUGAUCUAGGAAUAGAAUGGUACCAGAGGGGCAUGGGAGAAGGGAUUGGAUUCUGUAUAUAUGUUAAAGGUGGAGCUAACGGGAUUCACAGAUUUACUGGGUGGAGUAGCAAGAGACUGGGAGUAGUGAAGGAUAACUCCAGGGAAUCCUGAGACAAGUAACUGGAAGAACAAACAUCACCAACCGAGAGGAAAACACGCACGGAGAGGAGCACAUCUUCGGGGGUGAGAUUGGGUGCUUGGUUUCGAAUGCGAUAGUUUGACGUGUUUGUUAGACAUACAAGUGGCAACAUGGAGGAUCAUUUUAGGGGCAGAGUCUGGGCUAGAAUCUUAAGUUAGGAAAUAUUUUUAUCGUGUAGCUAAUUUAUAUUGUGAUGUACUGAGGCAAAUCAAUGUUUUUCAUUGAUCCUCUCUACCUUUUUUUUUUUUUGCUCAAAAGUUGUUUUCCUACCCUAAAUUAUGAAUGUUCAUCUUUAUUUUUCCGUAGAAGUCUAUGAGGAUAUUAAAAAAUAUCCUGUAAUUUGUUAUACCAUAGAGUGUGAUGAAUCAAUGCUAUCUGUAAUACUUGUACUUUGAAGAUUUAUUAAAGUUUCCCUCAUCUAUAAAUGA